GAAAAUUCAUUCUCUUAUCUUCUUCUUUCUCUUCUAUUUUCUUCUUCUCUUUCUUCUCUUCUUCCCGUUCUUCUCUUGUUGCGAGAAUUUGAAAGAUUAAACGAAAGUUUUGAAAUCGAUAGAAGUUUUAUGUGAUAUUGAGGAUGGAAUUGAGUAUCUGGUGAUGGGUAUUGCGAUUUGAGAUCAAGGAAGAAGAUUUAUAUCUGAUUUCCCAUUCACAGUGAAGAAUUAGGGUGUUGAGAUUGAUGAUGAGUUCUUGUUGAAAUUGAUAAGUUACUCGGGUUUUUGAUGGAGGAUGAAUCGAGAGGGUUGUUGUGUGAUUGGUCCGGCAGAGUUGUGAUAGUGAAGAAUUAUGAGUUAGGGUUUCUGGAAGAAAUCAAAAGAAGAGUUAGAUGAUGAAAUUGAAGGUUUAAAGGAUUAAUUAGAGUAUGGGUUUAUUCUUAAUUGGUGUUUGAUGGAAGUUAUGGAAUUUUUCUGUGAAGCUUCAACGAAUUAGGGUUUCUGCAAGUUGAGAUCUAAUUGAUAAUGAACCAUGAGAAAUUGGAACAUGAUGUUAAUUGGUAGAAUUGGAUUGGGGGAAACGCAAUUCAGUGGAUGUUGAUACUUGGGUAAGUCUCUAAAUUGAUUCAGUUCUAGUAUUUUAAUUUGAAUGGUUUUAAUUGUUGAGAUUGGGUGAUUAUGAAUGAAUAUGAGUUUUAGAUGAAGUAGUAUGAAGAUGUGGUUUUAUGUGUAUGGAUGCUUGCAGGGGUGUAAUGAUUGUUGCAGGACAUGAAUGUUACUUGGGUAUGUCUGAAUUUGUGGGUGGUGCAGAUUUGAUUGUAGAGAAUUAUAAAUAUUGGUUACCAGAUAUGUGUAUGUGUUGGUUUGAAUUAAAAUGGAGUUUCUUGAGAGAUUUUCGUAAAUGGAGGUAUGCUGUAUCAGUAUUGUUGCAAGGAAGGGUAGUUUGAAUUCCAUAUGCUCAUAUAUAAGUUAGUGAUUUGGGAAUUGAGAUUUCAAGUUGUAAUAGUAGUGUUGAAUUCAGACUGAACUUGGUAGUGGUAAUAUUUUCAGAACCUUGAGUUGGGAGAGUAGAAUUUGUUUGUGAAUGAUGUAUAGAAUCACAGUUGGUUAGUCUUUUUGAAAGCCUGCUGCUACUGCAAUUGCAGAUACCUGCAACUGCUGUGCAAAACAAGGAGAAGGAGAAGCAGAAAAAAACUGUUCUAGUGCCUCAAACAGGUGGUGUGGUGUUGUGAAGAAAAGAGUUGAAGAAAUUCUGAAUUGUGGUGCUGCAUUGGUUUGCCAAAGACAAAGACCCAACUGGUUUGUGCAAUGGCUAAAAAGGGGUAAGCCUAAACUUUGGGCUCAACUUCAGCGAAACUAAAGUGUAAACCCAACUGAAUUGUAAACUGUGGGAUUGUUUAAAUUGUAUCAUGGGCUUGUAAUUUUGAUUUAAACUGAACUGUGGGCUCUAAAACUGAAUUUUGGGCCUGUCCUAGAC